UUCUCAAUCUGGUAUAUCGAACAAAUUUUUUAUAUCAUCCAUUGUUCCCAUGACACUCAUUUUUUUGAUUUCUAAUUAAUCGAAUCCCAAUCAAUUUCAAGUCACAAGCGAGCUCGUCUCGAGUCUUCCUAUCUGAACUUCCAGAAGUUCCGCGAUACACUGCAGUCUGGAAAGAUCGCGGAGGGGACGAGAACGGUUGUUUAUCUAUAUCCAGAUUGAUUUAUGUAUCGCCAUUGAAAGAUUUUUCAAGAAAUUCAACUACGACACGACACAGACUGAAGCAAGAGCGUUCAUAGGAUCAUCAGGUUUCCUCUUCAACGAAUUGCUGAUCUGCAAUCCCUGCUGAAGGGUCGUGGAGGUUGGGGUAGCUGGUGUGGACGUUGACGUGGUGACGUCCUGUGCCUGAGGAAGAGGUGCGU